UACAAUACAAUAUAGAGAGGCUUCUCAACUUACAAAGGAGUUAUAUCUGGAAACACAUUAUAAACUGAAAAGAUAUACCAUAAGUACCACAAGUCAGAUGUGGUAGCAUUUGCCUGUACCAACUACUUGGAAGACUGGCAGAAGAAUCACUUGAACCUAGGAAAUUCAGUGCCAGCCUGGCCAGCACAGUAAGACCCCAUCUCAGCAACAACAACAAAAUGAAUUUAAAACACCUAUUUUACUGAACAUUCUAACUUGGCAACACAGCAUCCCCAACUGCUGCAGCCUGAGGCCUCCUGAAUUUGGUGCUGCUCUUCUUUACCUACUUACAAGUAAUAUGAAGUUUUCAGCACUCCCGUCAGCAACGCUGAAGAUAUGGGCCUCCAACCUCAAUGAUGCUGAAAACCUGCAGAAAAACUACCCACUGCCCCAGGAUCCCAGAAGCUAAUGGAUAGGAUCUAACAAGAGCGGGAGAAGCUGCAGCCCUGGCCACUGCUCCAUGCCAACAAUGUGACACAGCAGAUCAGCAACAACGUGUGGUGCUGGAACAGAGCCUAGUAUCAUCACCAGCCUUUAGACAUAAAAGAUAUGCAGGUGCUACUUCACUUCUGCCCUCCAGUCUCACUCAAAAUUAUUCUUGUGGCCACUACUAACCCAAAAUCCAGAAGAAAGUUCUGGGAAACAUAAUUCCCAGUUAGCUCUGUGGACACAUUACAAACCCAUACAGAAAGUACACAGCUCUGCUCUCCUUAUGAUUAAGUCCUGGCCCUGAUUUUUUAGCAUUACCUGG